UACGUAGGCAGCAAGCGUUGUUCGGAAUUAUUGGGCGUAAAGAGCGUGUAGGCGGUUUGGUAGGUCCGCUGUGAAAACUCGAGGCUCAACCUCGAGACGCCGGUGGAAACCAUCAGACUAGAGUCCGGAAGAGGAGAGUGGAAUUCCUGGUGUAGCGGUGAAAUGCGCAGAUAUCAGGAGGAACACCAAUGGCGAAGGCAGCACUCUGGGACGUGACUGACGCUGAGACGCGAAAGCGUGGGGAGCAAACAGG
rnacentral:rRNA from 1 species